rnacentral:rRNA from 1 species
AUUGAACGCUGGCGGCAUGCCUUACACAUGCAAGUCGAACGGCAGCACGGGGCAACCUGGUGGCGAGUGGCGAACGGGUGAGUAAUGCAUCGGAACGUACCUUUCAGUGGGGGAUAACGUAGCGAAAGUUACGCUAAUACCGCAUAUUCUGUGAGCAGGAAAGCAGGGGAUCGCAAGACCUUGCGCUGAUUGAGCGGCCGAUGUCAGAUUAGCUAGUUGGUGAGGUAGAGGCUCACCAAGGCGACGAUCUGUAGCGGGUCUGAGAGGAUGAUCCGCCACAAUGGAACUGAGACACGGUCCAGACUCCUACGGGAGGCAGCAGUGGGGAAUUUUGGACAAUGGGGGCAACCCUGAUCCAGCCAUGCCGCGUGAGUGAAGAAGGCCUUCGGGUUGUAAAGCUCUUUCGGCCGGGAAGAAAUCGCACGGGCUAAUACCCUGUGUGGAUGACGGUACCGGAAUAAGAAGCACCGGCUAACUACGUGCCAGCCGCCGCGGUAA